rnacentral:rRNA from 1 species
UGGGGAAUAUUGCACAAUGGGCGCAAGCCUGAUGCAGCCAUGCCGCGUGUAUGAAGAAGGCCUUCGGGUUGUAAAGUACUUUCAGUCGGGAGGAAGGUGGUAAGGUUAAUAACCUUAUCAAUUGACGUUACCGACAGAAGAAGCACCGGCUAACUCCGUGCCAGCAGCCGCGGUAAUACGGAGGGUGCAAGCGUUAAUCGGAAUUACUGGGCGUAAAGCGCACGCAGGCGGUUUGUUAAGUCAGAUGUGAAAUCCCCGGGCUCAACCUGGGAACUGCAUCUGAUACUGGCAAGCUUGAGUCUCGUAGAGGGGGGUAGAAUUCCAGGUGUAGCGGUGAAAUGCGUAGAGAUCUGGAGGAAUAACGGUGGCGAAGGCGGCCCCCUGGACGAAGACUGACGCUCAGGUGCGAAAGCGUGGGGAGCAAACAGG